ACAGGAUCUCGCUGUGUUGCCCGGGCUGGUCUCAAACUUCUGGACACAAACAAUCCUCCACAUUGGCCUCCCAAAAUGCUGGAAUUACAGGUGUGAGCCACUGGACCAGCAGGACUCUAAAUUUUGGUGCUCAAAAAACAUUUGUUGAGUAAGUGAACCUGAGACUAUCAACAAGCAUUAUUUUAAAAUCACUAGCAAAGGAGAUUGUAAAAUCAGGAAGUAUAUCUAAGUCACCUCCAGUAGCCGUAACUCUACCUUGUCCAGUAAAAGGAUAAUUCUGGCAGCUAUUGAAAACAGACUGAAGAGAAGAAAGAAGAUUUGGAGGAAUAUGUAUCCAAGAUUGAUGAUGGUGGCUCAGAUCAGUGCUGCUUGUUGCUGACGUUUCUGCCCAAACAUCAUGAAAUGUGGAGAAGAAAGAACACUCAGAUGUGCCCUGGAGACUUUCCUUUUAUUUUUAAACAGUUUUUUUUUCCAUUGGGUUUGACCAACUCUAUAUUCGACUUGAACAAAUCCGAAGGAAAGCUUCCAAUUAUGGGGAACAAGUCCUCUGAAGUGGCUAAAUUCCCACACACACAAAAGAAAAGAUGAGUCUAUGCCCAGGACCACCAGAUAAUUGAGUCCUGUACAAAAGCUUCUGACUAAACAAUGUGCUCUGGCUCAGGACUAUACAGAGAAAAGACACAGUUUUUAAAUUGAUCGUUCAAAAGGAAACAUAUUUAUGAUAUUUGCUCCAUGAUAUGUAUCUCUCAUCUGUUAGCUCAGGCAGAAUUAAAAUGCUAGACAAUAAUGUUCCAUGCCACUAUGCUUACUCGGGUCUCUCACAUUGGUGUACUUCUGGCACAAAGUCACAUGACAUUUGAGUAAUAGCUGUCUCCCAUGUGGACUUUACACCACAUGAUGUCAGGGGCCAUUCAUUCUAUUCCAAUUACAUAAAUCAUAGAUUAGGAUAGGUCUUGGCAAGGACUGGGUACUAUAUGAAUAUUUUUGAGUAAAUGUAUGAGCACAAAAUAUUUUAUGUGGUUAUGUAUCUAGUAAAACAUGCAAGGCUAACAUAUCCUCUUUCAUUAGACUUCAAGAAAACUCCAGCGAAUAUUUAUCAGAAAAAGAAAACCAGGAAAAAUGAAAGAAGUAAUAAAAUUAAAAUCUCGUACAGACCAAAAAUAAAUGAUACAGAGCAUUUAGGUAGUCAGAAGCUGUGCUAACUGGUUUCCAAACAAGGUAAAGAACAGCCUGCUAGGAACACACUGUAUCUCAAAGGGCAAAACAAUAACGUCAAACCUUUCUCCUCUGCAUUGCAAAUACCAUUUGCAUUUCAAUGACACUACACUCUAAAGAAUAUGCUCUACUAAGUUUGUUAGAUAAGCCGCAUGUGCUGUGUUUCAAAUCACAUAGUAAUAAAAGUGUUCCAGUUCUUUGAUAGAUUUACGUAAUUCCCUAACUGGACUACCAUUGAUUCCCCUUAAGAAAGGUAUAUAGACUCUCUAUGAAAAAUAGAGUUUCUUAAAUCCAGCUUCCUAUGUGGAAAGUAUUAUUACUUUAUAGGAAAAUAAUUUCUAGCUGUUUUCCUGUUGUUCCCAAGAGUCUUUCCAAUUUCUUUAUAUAUCUGUCUUAGAAUGUUCAAUUUUCUCAAGCCCCUUAAAAAAUCAUUCUUGCUUUUCUACUCAUUUCCACUUGUUAAACUUGACCCAGUUUUCUCUUGGUUUCAUAUUUUACCAUUCAACUUUUAUUCCACUCUCUACCCUCUCCAACUCCCCUAAAUAAAUUGUUUUUUCAGGUCAUAAUACCCCUAUUUGUUUUUCCUACACAACGGGUAAGCUCAGAUGGAACAUUAUCGAAUGGUGAAAAGCAUAAGUUUGUCUUAGGACACAAAGUUUCUAACAAAGAUUGAUUCUUCUCAUAUGAAAUAACUGCUUCUUUAUACUUUUCAUGGCAUUUUAGAAUACAGGGUAGGAUUGCAGUCCCUGAAAUGUACCAAUUCUGAAUUAAACUAAUUAAUUAAUUAAUUUUCUUAGCACCCCACAGAGAUUGUGCCAUCACUUUUUUGUAUCAUGCUGCCCCUGAUUUUCCUCCUAGUGGGCCCGAAACAUCCAUCUUUCCACGAGUGUGGUCAGGAGAUUAGGACUGUUAUAAAUGAAGUGCAAAGAGAUUUACUAUUCCAAGCAGAAUUUUGCAGUCAGUAAGAUGUUAAAGAUUAUCUAAAGAAUAUCAAGUCAAAUCCAGAAGUCUCAGCUGAAGGUGUUUCUUCUUUAACAUACAGAUUUUAUACUGCCCAUCAAUGAGGGUAGGCCUUGGGACAGAUUUAUUCUAAGAAAUGAGGAUAGAGUAGAGAAAGAAAAAGUCUGAAGCUCUUCUUAUGGGGCUGCAGAGCUGGGAGACUUUCAGAAAUAUGAGAAAGGAAAUAAGAGAGGCAGAUGACACAUGAGUUUUCAUGUUUUCUCUCCAAACAGAUAGGCAGUCUGGAAAAGCUAAGGAUGUGGGCUUUUGACUAGAAUAAUGUUUGGGACUCUGAAAGGGGUUUGCCUUGGAUGACUGCCCUGCACAGCUUCAAGAUGGCCACAUCGGGGGAAACACAGUGGCACAGUGUGGUGACAGAGGGCUGAUGUUCAGUAUCUGAGUCAUUCUUCAUGUGUGGCAUGAAUAGAGCUAUUUGUUCUAAGGAGGGACUUUGGAGGUGGCUAAAUGGAGUUGGAUAGUCUGCCAUGUGGCCAGUUUUGUUGGUGAUUCUGCAGAUGAACUACCUGCACCAGGAGUCUGAGGGAGGAUGUUACAGGAAUGCAGAGAGGUCUACAGUACAAGUAGGAGUUAAAAUGAGGUCAACUCUCAGCCUGGCAUGGUGACUUGGGCCUGUAAUCCCAGAAUUUUGGGAGUCUGAGGUGGGAGGAUUGCUUGAGCUCAGGAGUUUGAGACCAGCCUGGGCAACAUAGCCAAACCAUCUCUACAAAAAAUAAAAAAAUUAUGUGAGUGUGGUGGUGAGCACCUGUAGAUCCAGCUACUUGGGAGGCUGAAGUGGGAGGAGUGCUUGAGCCUGGGAGGCCAAGGCUGCAGUGAGCCAUGAUUGCAUCACUGCAGUCCAGCCUGAGUGACAGAGCAAAACCCUGUCUCAAAAAAAAAAAAAAAAAAUGAGGUCAACUCAGCCACUGAUUACUGCUAGAUGCUGACCAAGUUAGAGAGGACAACCCAGUGGAUUAAACCUUUCUCCAAAUUAAGCCACAUUGCUAGCAUGUCAGUGAUGAUCAAGAGGUCAAAGUAGUGAGUGAGGGCUAAAGAAGUGAGAGCACACUUAAUAUCAGAAAUAUUUCAGUCCAUGGGCAAAAGGAUAUUCUUACCAUGGGUAAGAGGAGGAAGUUUGCAGAAAUCUGAAACACUGAAACAAUUCUCUUAAAGACACUGGGAAAGGCUUCAGUGUCCAAACUGUUUUAAACCAAAUGAGUCUGUUUUUAAUUUUUUCUCCAACUGGAGAAAAUUGAAAAUUGUUUUGGUUGGGGCCAAGGGUGAAGGAGUCUUGAAGAACAUUGGAUCAGAUAUACCAAAUGACCAAUUUGAUAGAUUGAUUGAUUGACUAAUUUUUUUUUAAACUUUUAAGUUACUAUGGGAGUAAAUUCAUUACUUUGCUACAAAUGUUGUGGGAAAGUGGACAAGUCAAUGCACUACUGUGAAUACUUAUUCACUAAUUCACGUUUCCAUUUGGAAAAAUAAAGGAGUUGGGCUGCAUAAUUCUUAAGGUCUUCUUUAGUUGAGAGAACCUAUAUGUAUUUAUAGUCUGUCCUUCUUAUGUAGAGAACACGAAUGUCUAAUUAUUUACAUUUAUUUUUAUGAUAGAAUUAAAACGAUGUAUUAAGCUGGCCUUUUUUCAGACAUACUUGCAACCAGAGUCAUCAAUUUUGAAGACAGCAACCAAGCCAAGCAAUGUGAGGUUACAGCUAUGAAAUAGAACAGAGAUGUCUAGACUAUAGACACAGCCUGCCGUUUUGUGCUGAUUGGUAAAGUGUUCCAGCCAACUGGAAGCAAAUAUUUCUCAGAAGCAGUUUCCUGCUCUCAUCCUCUCCUCGCCAUGCCCACUGUGCCCAACAUGGCUCCAGCUGGGUCACAGAAGACUUUGUCCUGGAAUACAGCAUUUCCCUAUUUAAAUCUCUAACUUUGUAUGUACUCUUUUCAAUAAAAGCAUAUUUUUCAUUACCAUUCUGACCAUACUCCCUUCUCUGCUGGCUCCACAGCUAAGGUUUCUGCACCUGUUCCAUAACUUCUGGGAUCUGUCUCUGUUGCUGCACGUAUGCAUUCCAUAAGCAUUAAUAGAUCCAUUCACUCUUCUGAAAUCUGGGCAGCUUAAAUCAUAUUACAUCUAACGUAUUUUUACUAGAGUCAGUUCUACCCCCCGACUCUUGAGUGCACACACAGGCACUUCUCUGUAAGUUCCUUGAGGUCAGAAAUAGUCCCCUAGUCAGCCUUCUGCCUUCUGUAGUUCCUGGUCCAUCAAGGUGCAGAGUACAUAUUCCACAGAUAAAUAGAUAACUCUCAUUCAAUGCUCUGAUCUUUCCUUUAUCUUGUUUCCCUGGAUAUUCCUCUUUCACGGCUCUUUUCUAUUUAAUUU
rnacentral:lncRNA from 1 species